GCCUCUCUCUCUCUCUCUCUCUCUCCAUGUGCCCAUACAAACACAAUAUAUGAGCUGUAUGACUCUUACUAAUAACGACUCUCCUAUUUAAAGUCCAAGAAGCCCUUCUCUUACAAACCACUUUUUUCUCUCUUAUAGCUUUCACUCUCUCCCUCUCCUUUUAUUGUAGAAUCGAAGUACCUCUUUCUCAAGUCAAGAAACGAAGUUUCAGAGAGAAAAACAAGAUGUUUACUAACACUUCGUCUAUCCCAUUCUAGUUAUCGACAUCCAAGGCUGUCAAAGAGACAACCUUAGAGUUCGCCGGCUUAACAGGAGAAGAAGAGUAUUGAAAGAAGAAGCAAAGGAGAAGAAAAGGGUGAGAGUAGUGAAGAUGGAAAUGAAGAACUUGAAACUGUUCAUGGUAAACGGAAGCAUCAUGGAAGAGAACGAGAAGCUGAGACAGAAAGCUUUGCUGCUUCACCAAGAGAAUCAGGCCCUGUUAUUCCAGCUCCAAACAAAGCUCUCUCAACAACAGAAACAGCAACAACAAUCACUAAAAUGAAUAUGUACUGCUUUUUGCAGAAACUAAUUAGAAGAAUAGGUAGGAAUAGGGGUCUCUGUUCUUUGAUCUUUGGACUCUGGAGUUGACUUUAAGUUCUUUGAAUAAUUAACUAGGGUGGGGAAUGAAUAAAGGAAAAAUGGGUUGUUAGCCUUUUUAUGAGUAAUACAUGCAUGGAUUAUAAUGUAUAAUAGUACAA